CCUACGGGAGGCAGCAGUGGGGGAUAUUGCACAAUGGGGGGAACCCUGAUGCAGCGACGCCGCGUGGGUGAAGGAGCGUUUCGGCGCGUAAAGCUCUAUCGUCAGGGAAGAAGCUGACGGUACCUGCCCAAGAAGCCCCGACUAACUACGUGCCAGCAGCCGCGGUAAUACGUAGGGGGCAAGCGUUGUCCGGAGUUACUGGGUGGAAAGGGGGCGGAGACGGCGAGGCAAGCCAGGAGUGAAAGCCCCGGGCCAAACCCCGGGACUGCUCUUGGAACUGCAUGGCGUGAGUACAGGAGGGGCAGGCGGAAUUCCGAGUGUAGCGGUGAAAUGCGUAGAGAUUAGGAGGAACACCAGUGGCGAAGGCGGACUGCUGGACUGUAACUGACGUUGAGGCGCGAAGGCGUGGGGAGCAAACAGGAUUAGAUACCCUAGUAGUC
rnacentral:rRNA from 1 species